CAACAAUAGCUGACAUGAAAUGCUGCGACGACAGUGCCCCCCUUAAGCAAUCUAUAGUUAUCUAUGGACGGUCAAGGAGUACAUAAAAGAUACAUAGCAGUAGGCAUGACUGACUUAUUUGGCAAACUAACAACUGAUUUCGGACCUUUUUUCGUGUUAUUUUUGGAGGAAAUGAUAUUGGAGUUGCAUGAUACAACGCAAUGGGUGAUACUUGGCAACGACGUGACAAUAAUAGUAUUUGAUCUCUUGUCUACUUUGUAAGUUUGCCUACUUAUAAAGAUUUUCGAUGAAAUUGAUUACGGAGACUAGGCAGGCCACUCCAGGGCCUUAAUCAAGGAAUACUGAAACUACUGGAAAGGAAAGAUAAAUAUCCCGCUCACACAAUGAGGCUGACUUCCUCUUUUCCUGUAACUACAAAAAUGAGAAAUGACUAGUAUGAUUUAUAAAAAUUAUAGUACUAAUAUAUCCGACACACAAUUAUGUCUCAUGAUCUUUAAUUAAUCAAUUUCUCAACUUAUAAUUAUAUUUAUCCUUUUAACUUAAUAAUUUCAUUUUAUAACAAGACAAAUAAAAACUUAAUUUAUAUUACUUUAGCACCUUUUUUUUACAUAAGUAUAAAAAUAGUUUUUAUUUCGUAUGUAAUAAUAAAAAUAUAAUAUUGGAAGUACAAUAAUCUGUUAGGUCGAAUGAAGUUAGGCAACGUUUCUAUUGUUGUACUAAGGAUUGCAAAUAUUUUAUAUUAUGUAAGCAAUGCAAAAUUCUUCCCCACAACGUUGAAAAGUUUAUCGACUAUUUUUAUAAUAUAGGUAGAGAAACAGUGACGAAUUACUAUUACCUAUUAAAAACUAUAAUAAUACCCUCAACUAAAAGUAAAGUGAUUCUAAAGUGAAACCUAUUUCCCAAAGAGUCAUCAUGAAAGGAUUGUACUGAUUAAAUAGUAACUCAACAGUUAAGUUUACCACUUGGAUGAAGGCAACAACUUCCAUCUAUUUCCGCGAGACUGACUUGAUGAUGAGGCUGAGGACAUUUUUAAAAGUUUGAUUAUUUGUAGUUCCCAUUUCUGCCGAGUUAAAAAUUAAGAAGUUCUUCACAAAUGUUGUCAAAUCUCUCUUUCUUUGUCUGACUGUCCGUGGAGCCCAGAAAAGCGGCAAUGUUGAUGGUUCAUAUCAAUCUUAUAUCUUAGCAUGGCCUAAACCAUUUGGAUAGGUUUUUGGAGUCUUUUAUGGGGAAUUUGUGAAAGCUCACAUCCGGAUCCUUAGUAAUGCCGUCAUAGCCCUGCUUACAUCCAGGAGAAGAACACUUAUCACCAUUAGCAAUCAAGAAAUAACAAAACAAAUUAAUUAACUUUUAUGAACCAAGUUUUCCUCAGUUAUAAUUUAUAAAACAAAGGAAGAAUGUGUCAGCCUCCUCGUGUAGAAAAAAAGUGAGAACGAUUUUAAGAUGCACUCCCAGUUGUUUCAGUAUUCUUUGUCUAACCUUGUAUUUCCAUUAACCUUGGGUUAGAACAUCAUGUAAUCGGGCUUGCUAGAAUUUUCAAUUACGGUAAAGGCCAUUGGAACAUGUUUGAGCUGCGUCCAGAUUAUGAUUAUCUAUCACUGACGAUAUCAAGGAAUGUGGUAUCGAAUUACUUUUAGUAUUACAUUAUAUUAUUAUACACCAAUCUUAUAAAAACUGUUUCAAUUCUAGAACCCAAGAGAUUAAUUAAAUUUGGGGAUGAUUCAAUCAUCAACUUCUGAAUAUUUCUAUAAUCAGCAAGGCAGCUCACCAUUUCUUGAAAUCAAUUGGAGAACAUAACUACAUAUUAAUCGAUAUUAUGUUAUGUUAUGCGAAUAUUUAUAAUAGUUACAUGAUUAGUGAAAUUGUAUGAUUUAUAUGAAACUUGUAGAGAAAAUUAAAGGAAAAAAUUAGACUGUUAA
rnacentral:lncRNA from 1 species